rnacentral:tRNA from 1 species
GCUUAUAUAUUAAGUCUUAAAGUAUUAGUUUUUUAGAUAAAUUAUAUUAUAAGUUUAUAAUUUUAUUAUAAAAAAAUUAUUAUAAUUUAAUUUUAAUAAUAAAAAGUUAUAAAAGUUCUAGGUUUAUAUUAGAAUACCUUAAAGCUUAUUAUUAUUUUUUAUUUUAUUUUUAUUAUAUAUAAUAUUAUUUUUUAACUAAUUAUAAAUUAUAAAUAAAACUUUUAUUAUAAGCU